rnacentral:rRNA from 1 species
AAAUUGAAGAGUUUGAUCAUGGCUCAGAUUGAACGCUGGCGGCAGGCCUAACACAUGCAAGAGCGGUAGCACAGAGCUUGCUCUCGGGUGACGAGCGGCGGACGGGUGUAAUGUCUGGGAAACUGCCUGAUGGAGGGGAUAACUACUGGAAACGGUAGCUAAUACCGCAUAACGUCGCAAACCAAAGUGGGGACCUUCGGGCCUCAUGCCAUCAGAUGUGCCCAGAUGGGAUUAGCUAGUAGGUGGGGUAACGGCUCACCUAGGCGACGAUCCCUAGCUGGUCUGAGAGGAUGACCAGCCACACUGGAACUGAGACACGGUCAGACUCCUACGGGAGGCAGCAGUGGGAAUAUUGCACAAUGGGCGCAAGCCUGAUGCAGCCAUGCCGCGUGUGUGAAGGCCUUCGGGUUGUAAAGCUUUCAGCGGGGAGGAAGGCGAUAA